rfam:Zootermopsis nevadensis contig10771, whole genome shotgun sequence.
GCCACGGUGGUCUAGCGGUCAGAACGCUGGCCUUGUAAUCCUGGGGUCUCGGGUUCGAUUCCCGGCGGUGCCC